rnacentral:lncRNA from 1 species
UCCAGAUCGCCAACUCGAUGAGGAGCUAGGGGAGGGAUGUGUAGGAGGUAUGGGAUGCGAUCCAUUCAAUCAUAGGAAGGAUCAAUCACUGGUUUGGCUGGCCUAGCCAUCAUUGAUUGUCUGAUGUCGACCCAUCAAAAGGUUGCCUUUUAUGCCAUCUCAAAGUGCAAUGGAGCUAGAGAGGGAGUGGAGGUGGCAGAGGAGG